rnacentral:lncRNA from 1 species
GGGGUUUUGGGGGGCCUGUGAAGGAGUUUUGGGGGUGGUGAAGGAUUUUUGGGGGGCCCAUGAAGAAUUUCGGGGGGCAUGAGAAGGAUUUGGGGGCACCCGUGAGGGGUUUUGGGGAGCCUGUGAAGGAUUUGGGGGGACCUAUGAAGGAUUUUGGGGGGUGGUGAAGGAUUUUUGGGGGGUCUAUGAAGGAUUUUGUAAGCCCAAGAAGGAUUUUGGGGGGGCCGUGAAGGAUUUUGGGGGGCCCGUGAAGGAUUUUGGGGGGCAUGAGAAGGGUUUAGGGGGCGCCUGUGAAGGAUUUUGGGGGUGCUUGAGGGGUUUUGGAGGGCCUGUGAAGGAGUUUGGGGGCCUCCAACUUUUAAGGGCCCACGAAGGACUUUUUGGGGCGCACAAAUGAUCUUGGGGGGUACGUGAAGAAUUUUGGGGGCUGCUGAAAGAUUUUGGGGUCCCUAGAAGAAGUUUCUGGGGGCACGGAGGUGAUUUUGGGGGGCCCGUGAAGGAUUUUUGGGAACACAUAAAAGAUUUUGGGGACCAGUGGAAGAUUUUUGGAGCCUGUGAAAGAUUUUGGGGGGGACGUGAAGGAUUUUUGGGGCCCUUGAAGGAUUUGGGGGGGUACGUAAAAGAUUUUUGGGGCCGUGUGGAGGAUUUUUGGGGGCCUGUGAGGGAUUUUUAGGGGCCACGUGAAGGAUUUUAGGGGCCCGUGGAGGAUUUUGGGGGCGCGGAGGAGGUUUUGACGGGGUUCCCCGGCAGUUCGGCGCGCUGACGGUGGAGCUGAAGCCCCGGGCGAAGCCUGGGGGGGGCGGGGAGGAGGCGGCCCCCCCCCGCGCCCCCCGUUUGGAAGAAGUGGCCGCGCUGCCCCCCCUGCUGCAGGGCCAGGGGCUGGCGGCCGCGGGCAAGCGGAGGAAAAAGCAGCAAAAAAGAGCAGGGUGAAGUUGGUGAUGAAGGCAGCAGGCGACAGAUCGAGGUCGAAGGCGGCCUGGCGCGGCGCGGGGUGCGGGUUGCGCAUGGUGCAGCACACCCGGGUGGAGGCGUAGCGGGAGAUGAUGGCGGAGCUCACGGUGAAGCUGGUCAUCGGCAGCUGCGAGAGAGGGGGGGGCGUAACGGUGGCAAAAUAUUCCCCCCACGGCUCAGAUUGUGCCCCCCCAAAUUAAUUAAUAGCUCUGUGCUCACCUCCUGGCCGAGGGAAGGAUUCAUCGCAGGCAGGGCUAGCAGGCAGGGCAGCGCCAAGUACCUGGCCAGGAUGCGUCCCAGCUCAUCCAUGUUGCCUUCUCUGCUGCCUUUACUCCUCAGCCUUCCCCGGAGCAGCUUUUCCUCCUCUUUUUCUCUUUUAGGGACUACUUUUUUCCACUUUCCUUCUUCCUCCACACCUACAAAUGCAGCAUUCACUUGAGACAAGCCGGGCUUGUCCACAGGCUGGGGGCUGGAGAUACGCCAGUCCCUGCAAGACGAAAUAAAAACAAAACGCCCAGAAGAACCUGUGUCUUU